rnacentral:tRNA from 5 species
GCGCCCGUAGCUCAGUCGGACAGAGCGUCGGACUUCGAAUCCGAAGGUCGCAGGUUCGAUCCCUGCCGGGCGCACCA